rnacentral:rRNA from 1 species
CUACGGGCGGCUCCAGUGGGGAAUCUUAGACAAUGGGGGAAACCCUGAUCUAGCCAUGCCGCGUGAGCGACGACGGCCCUAGGGUUGUAAAGCUCUUUCAGCAGGGAAGAUAAUGACGGUACCUGCAGAAGAAGUCCCGGCUAACUCCGUGCCAGCAGCCGCGGUAAUACGGAGGGGACUAGCGUUGUUCGGAAUUACUGGGCGUAAAGCGCGCGUAGGCGGAUUGUUAAGUCGGGGGUGAAAUCCCGGGGCUCAACCCCGGAACUGCCCUCGAUACUGGCAGUCUUGAGUUCGAGAGAGGUGAGUGGAAUUCCGAGUGUAGAGGUGAAAUUCGUAGAUAUUCGGAGGAACACCAGUGGCGAAGGCGGCUCACUGGCUCGAUACUGACGCUGAGGUGCGAAAGCGUGGGGAGCAAACAGGAUUAGAUACCCCAGUAGUC